rnacentral:rRNA from 1 species
ACGAGCCGGCGACGGUAAGCGAAUCCCAAAAAUAAACGUCCCAGUUCGGAUUGCAGUCUGCAACUCGACUGCAUGAAGCUGGAAUCGCUAGUAAUCGCGGAUCAGAAUGCCGCGGUGAAUACGUUCCCGGGUCUUGUACACACCGCCCGUCACACCAUGGGAGUCGGUAACGCCCGAAGUCAGUGACCCAACCUGAGAGGGAGGGAGCAGCCGAAGGCAGGUCUGAUGACUGGGGUGAAGUCGUAACAAGGUACC